CUUGGCCGAGUGGUUAGGCGCCGGUCUGCAAAACCGUUUACGGCGGUUCGAUUCCGCCA
rnacentral:tRNA from 1 species